rnacentral:rRNA from 1 species
UACGAAGGGGGCUAGCGUUGCUCGGAAUCACUGGGCGUAAAGCGCACGUAGGCGGAUUGUUAAGUCAGGGGUGAAAUCCUGGAGCUCAACUCCAGAACUGCCUUUGAUACUGGCGAUCUCGAGUCCGGGAGAGGUGAGUGGAACUGGCGAGUGUAGAGGUGAAAUUCGUAGAUAUUCGCAAGAACACCAGUGGCGAAGGCGGACU